GUCAACUUGUGGCCCAGUUCUGUGUGUCAAUUGGCCUCUAAGAAGUACCCAGCAGCCCCUGCUCAAAUCUCCUCUCCCCCUGUCCGGUGUGACCUGGGAGCCCUGUGACGCCGCUUUAUUGCUUAGGAAGUGAUGGUACACUGAAAUGUUCAGCGGUUUGCCCAUGGCCUCAGGAGAGCAAAGCUGGCCUGCCCACCUCACCGCACGACAGUGGGGUCCCCGUCAUCCUUCCUGACCGAGUUCUUCACCUCUUCGAGGAGCCUUCCCUCCCUACCCCCGGGCCUGUAAGUGAUUCCCUCCAUCCCCUCUGUGUCCAUGCAGCUCUGCAUGGUGGGGACGGGUCCUGGGGACACCCCUGUG
rnacentral:lncRNA from 1 species